GCGCGGGGAAGCCGUCCAGUGUGUUCUUACGCUUAAUGCUUGGAACCAACGGUUACAUUACCCCUCCGACGGUUUCAAAAUAACAUUCUUGUUAAUUUUGAGUAUCAAUUACCAGAAAGACUUUAUCUUCAUACCUUUUCAUUCUAAGUUAAUACUGGAAAAAAACAUGAUCGUGGUUUUAUUUUUUGCAUCCCCUUAGCAUUCUCUUCCUUAUUUUGUAAGAGCAAUAAGACGAUGUUCAUUAAGUGUUGAUGUGUUCAUCGCAUGAACCCAAACAGCUGUCAGUAGUAUUAUUAAUUACAUUGCCUCCUCUCUCAAAUCAAGUCAAAUCGCGAAAAAUAAUCUCGUCCUAGCGCUACGGACGUUGAGAUGCGGUUCGUUCUGCUUUUAUCGGUCUAAUUUACCAUUCAUCGAUUUUGUUGCAUUUCAACUUUUCAGGAGUCAUCCUCAAACGAUAAAUUUCGCGAAUAAAGUGGAUUUAAUGAUUCGAUCCUCACACUUACCUUCCAUGGUCUGCAGUACCCGGAAGCCAAGUGGAGUUCUGGAUAUAAAUAUAAACCGCCUAUAGUAAUUGCACAUUCCGAGAAAUCUGCGCAGCGAUCGAAGUGACUUCGGGCGUUCGAAAUUGACAAUUGCUUCAACGCGGUCUGGGUUUGGGCGAAGCCCAUUUUUACUAAGAAUGUAGCCCAAGUAGGGCACCUCUGAGACACAAAACUGGGACUUAUGUAGGUUGAUUGACAAAUUUGCUGCCCUGAGCCUAGUCGCCAACUCUUUCAGUCGGUCAAGGUGCUCUUCAAACGUGUUGCUUACCACGAUGAUAUCAUCCAGGAACUGGGCUUCAGAUCCGCGGAGGAGAAAACCCCCAAUGGUUUCCCUGUAUUAUCGAUUAACUCAUACGAGCUAGUGCCCACCCUCGCUUUGACGGUGCAUGGGGUGUAACACGGUGCAAGUUUUGCAUUGUAUUUAUCCACAGCAGAGGACUGUUUAAAAUUCCGUUUCAGUACCGUCUGACCAACUUUAUACACUGGAGCCAUUUUUUUACGACGUAAAUUGUGAAUUUUUGAGGUAUUGUUUUUCUAAAUUUUUGACCACAAGGUCCCGAAUAAAUUUAUCUAUUUGUAA